GACGAACGCUGGCGGCGUGCUUAACACAUGCAAGUCGAACGAUGAAGCUAGAGCUUGCUCUGGUGGAUUAGUGGCGAACGGGUGAGUAACACGUGAGUAACCUGCCCCGAACUCUGGGAUAACUGCUGGAAACGGUAGCUAAUACCGGAGAUGACCAAUGAAGGCAUCUUCUGUUGGUGGAAAGAAUUUCGGUUCGGGAUGUACUCGCGGCCUAUCAGCUUGUUGGUGAGGUAACGGCUCACCAAGGCGACGACGGGUAGCCGGCCUGAGAGGGUGAUCGGCCACACUGGGACUGAGACACGGCCCAGACUCCUACGGGAGGCAGCAGUGGGGAAUAUUGCACAAUGGGCGCAAGCCUGAUGCAGCAACGCCGCGUGAGGGACGACGGCCUUCGGGUUGUAAACCUCUUUUAGUAGGGAAGAAGCGAAAGUGACGGUACCUGCAGAAAAAGCACCGGCUAACUACGUGCCAGCAGCCGCGGUAA
rnacentral:rRNA from 1 species